GAUGAACGCUGGCGGCGUGCUUAACACAUGCAAGUCGAACGAUGAAGCCCAGCUUGCUGGGUGGAUUAGUGGCGAACGGGUGAGUAACACGUGAGUAACCUGCCCUUAACUCUGGGAUAAGCCUGGGAAACUGGGUCUAAUACCGGAUAGGAGCGCCUACCGCAUGGUGGGUGUUGGAAAGAUUUAUCGGUUUUGGAUGGACUCGCGGCCUAUCAGCUUGUUGGUGAGGUAAUGGCUCACCAAGGCGACGCCGGGUAGCCGGCCUGAGGGGGUGACCGGCCACACUGGGACUGAGACACGGCCCAGACUCCUACGGGAGGCAGCAGUGGGGAAUAUUGCACAAUGGGCGAAAGCCUGAUGCAGCGACGCCGCGUGAGGGAUGACGGCCUUCGGGUUGUAAACCUCUUUCAGUAGGGAAGAAGCGAAAGUGACGGUACCUGCAGAAGAAGCACCGGCUAACUACGUG
rnacentral:rRNA from 1 species